GCCCAGAAUAGAAUUUUAGUUCAACUUUAAACUUGCCUACAAAACUUAAAAAUUUUAAUGCAAGUUUAAAAUAUAUUCUAAAAAGGUACAGCUUUUUAGAAUCAAGGAUACAACCUUACUUAGAGAGUAAGUAUUAAUUAAGUCAUAGUAGGCCUAGAAGCAGCCAUCAAUUAAGAAAGCGUUUAAGCUCGACACCCAUAUCAACUUAAUACCAAAAAUAUCUAACUAACUCCUAAUAUAACAACUGGGCUAAUCUAUUUUAAUAUAGAAGCAAUAAUGCUAAUAUGAGUAACGAGAGAUAUCUCUCCAAUGCAUAGGCUUAUACCAGCAACGGAUAACCACUGAUAGUUAACAACAACGUAGAAAUAGUCCAACAAUAAAACAUCUACCAAACCAAUUGUUAAUCCAACACAGGUAUGCAACUAAGGAAAGAUUAAAAGAAGUAAAAGGAACUCGGCAAACAUGAGCCCCGCCUGUUUACCAAAAACAUCACCUCCAGCAUUUCUAGUAUUGGAGGCACUGCCUGCCCGGUGACAUUAGUUAAACGGCCGCGGUAUUCUGACCGUGCAAAGGUAGCAUAAUCAUUUGUUCUCUAAAUAAGGACUUGUAUGAAAGGCCACACGAGGGUUUAACUGUCUCUUACUUCCAAUCAGUGAAAUUGACCUUCCCGUGAAGAGGCGGGAAUAAAAUAAUAAGACGAGAAGACCCUAUGGAGCUUCAAUUAACUAGCCUAAAAGAUUCUAUCUACCAGACCGACAGGAACAACAUACUUCUUCUAUGGGCUAACAAUUUGGGUUGGGGCGACCUCGGAGCAUAAAACAACCUCCGAGUGAUAUUAAUCUAGACAUACCAGUCAAAAUGCUCACUUACUUAUUGAUCCAAAACUUCUUUGAUCAACGGAACAAGUUACCCUAGGGAUAACAGCGCAAUCCUAUUUAAGAGUCCAUAUCGACAAUAGGGUUUACGACCUCGAUGUUGGAUCAGGACAUCCUAAUGGUGCAGAAGCUAUUAAGGGUUCGUUUGUUCAACGAUUAAAG
rnacentral:rRNA from 1 species